rnacentral:tRNA from 3 species
UGGGGAGUGGCCAAGUGGUAAGGCAGCUGACUCUGGAUCAGCCAAUCAGAGGUUCGAAUCCUCUCUCCCCAGCCA